UAACCAAGCUCCAUCAUUUUCCUAAUUCAUGUAUCAAUCAAUAAACUCAUAAUUAAGAAACAAAUAUUAUCCAAACUUUUUCUUAGCUAGUUGUAUGUAAUACAUAUACCUAUAAGCAAAUAAAUAGGCUUGUAGUCAUAUAUUUCAAAUGAAUUACCGAAAUAUAUGACUACACAUAUUAUAUAUACAUCCCAUAAAUAUGUGAGACGAAAAUAUAUGAUCAUAAAAUUUCUGCUUAAAUUUUCUACUUUAUAAAUAUAUAUGCAUGUAACAAAAUAUAACAAACCUGGAAAUUUCUUCCCAUAAGGG